GGGCUCGGAUAUCGUGCGGAGGCCGAUUGUGUGGCCGGCGAAGGAUUUGGUUGGGGAUUCGGUGGAGGACGAGAGCGUCCGGAGGAGUGGAGAAGGCUGAUUUGAGCGGCAGAGGAAGCGAAGACAGUGAAGAGGAAGUGCAGGAAGAGGAGGAGGAAGAGUGGGUUGAUUGGGAGGAUAAGAUAUUGGAGGACACGGUGCCUGUGGUUGGCUUUGUGAGGAUGAUUCUGCACUCUGGAAGGUACGUAUUGAGGCGGCUCUGACAUUACGUAUGUUGGCUGAGGUUGAUCCAACAUGUGUUGGAGGUUUGAGAUCUAAUAGGCAAUGCCUAAAUAAUAUUUAACUUACAUAACAUUUAUGAGAACAAAAUGAUCUACAUAAGUCCCUUACUCUAUAAACAGCCAACUGGAUACACCGAAUAUUGGGUAUAGUCACUCGAAACAUGUAUGAUUAUUCACCAACUAGAAUGAUCUAUGUGCUUGAUAAAAUAGUUGGAAAGCUUUUCCAUUCAUGAAGAGGUAAAAGCACUAUCUAGUACUCUGAAAUGCCUUAAGAUCGUUCCUGUUAAUUCUUUUCCCACUUUUGUCCUGUAGAGUAAGGAACUUAAUCCAACUUCUUUGGAACUCCUCCCAACCUCUGCUGGCUGAAGCAUUUAAGUAUUAAAUCAUGUAUCCAUCUAACUAUUUGCCUCCCAUUUAUUUAUUUAUUCAUACGCUUGAAUUAUAAGUCACAUCUUAGUCUAUGCUCAUGAGAACAUAUUUGCCUCCCAUGUCGUUGUUCUGUUAGUAUUUUGUCUGCAUAUUUAUAUGUCGAUGAACUAAACUUUGGGCUUCUGUUUGGCCAUCUACUUGCACAAGUGGUAAUAUAAUUAAAUACAUUAUUAGAUUUCCUCCAAUGCUCUUCAUGUUUGCUUUGCUGUGUUCGUUCUAUUUUUCUUUUCGAGGAAAUUUUGGAUUCCAAAAUGUGCUGGGUGUUGUUAGUAACCCAACCUUAUCUUCCAAUCAAAGAAAUUAAAUUUGUGAUGCUGCUUUUGAAAAUUUUCAUAUUUUGUGUUACUCUCACGUGGUGCCUUCAAUUCCUGAUGAUAGCAAGUUAAAUUUGCUUAACAUAAUGCUACCUUUUAGGAUGAAAUUUUUCAGUAACAUUUACAUGAUAUUGUUCUUUUCAGAUUCAGUGCCCCAUUUUGUAUUAUGAUUAAUGAGCACUGUCCUUGACUUCUCGUUAGUGGUAAGUGAUUUUUCAACAAUUUCUCUCUGUAUAAUGAGAAUUGUCUCUCACGCUUUGAAUUGAUCAAGCCUGUGUCAUACUAAUGCGCUGCGUCUAUCCACUUUCAGGCGACACUGCAUCGACGGGGAAAAGAAAUUCGGAGUCCAAUCCUUUUGCACUAGCUUUAUCUUUGGAAUGUCGACCCAUGAUGAUGUAUUAGUAAUUGGAGCAAGCCAGUCUUACUUAGGAGUGAAAAAAUUUCAGUCAUUGCUGUCCGUUAUUGUUGUUUUAGUUUCUUUCUUUUUUUUUAGUUACUUUGUACUACAGAACUUGUUCUGCGAUGGUAUUGUUUUAGUUUCUUUCUUUUUUUUUUAGUUACUUUGUACUACAAAACUUGUUCUGCGAUGGUACUCACGCAAUGAGAGUGGGAAGAAAAGAGAUUCUGGCG